rnacentral:lncRNA from 1 species
AAUGAUUCCACCUCUUUGCCACCCAUAAACACAAAAGUGAUGCGUGCCACCAAAACAUGGUGCAAUUUGGAGAGAGAUAAAAAUUGGGGCAUGCCUCCUUUUGGUAAUUCAAAACCCUUUCCAGAGAGAGCUAAAUUUUGGGGUAGGAAGAGAGAAUUCUUAAAGAGAGAAAAGAUAAUACGUAUCUCAUUUUAUAAUGGGAGACCUCAUUUUCUAGAUUUUCUAUGUCAUAGAUUUUACCUUAAUUCAUAGGCCCAAAUCUCAACCGUCGAUCUAAAGAGACUUGUAGGGUGAGAGAUUUGAGCCAUCAAUCUCUUUGAUCCACCAUCAAGAUUCAAAGAGAUGAGCUAGAGCCUUAUCCUACAUUUCCUAAAUCUAUUCUCAUCAAAUAAGAAAAACUUAUAUUUUAAUAUAUCCAAUCCUUAAUUAUUAGAUCAAUCAAUCUUAAUUCAAAGAUUUAGUAAAUAUCUCAAAUAUUCAACCUUAUCACAUAAGUUGGCUAUACCUAAAAAGAUAAGGCAAAAGGAUAAACAUUAUUCCCACGAAUGUUACGUGAAUGGGUGGGGACGUGUCAC